rnacentral:tRNA from 1 species
AGGCGUGUAGCUCAACUGGCAGAGCAACGGUCUCCAAAACCGUAGGUUGGGGGUUCGAUUCCUCCCACGCCUG